rnacentral:lncRNA from 1 species
GCAGAUCAGUAUGGUGCCGCUAGGCAGGCACUGACUAGCUCCAGGCAGCUCAACCUUGGGAGCUUCGGGGCCCCGAGAGGUGGAGCCUGUGAGUGGGGCAUGCACUCCAUGUGGAAGCCAGAGCCUCCUCCCCUGGAUGGAGUGUACGAGAUCCCUGGACCGGAGCCCAUCCCCUCUGUGAGAGAGAUGUACUUCACGCCCGGGCUGCCACCGCUGAUCUUCCUGCCCUGGGACCCUGGGUAGAAACACCCAAAAUUCUGUUCACCCCGUUCACGACCCUGGGACCCUGGCUCGAAGCACCCAAAGUUCUGCUGCUCAAGCUCCAUUCACGAGCAGCCACCAUACAAAGACCAGGCCUGCUAUGUCUUUCACCAGCGUUGCCGCCUUCUCAGGGGUGUCAAGCAGGCCCUCUGGCUUACCGAGGCCAAGUUAAUAAAAUGCCUUCCUGAGAAAGUACUUGGCCUUGUUGAUGAUACAAGGAACCACAUAGAGAACCAAGAUGAGCGUCUUCUGAAUUUGAUCUCUCAUGCCUGUCUCUGGCACUGUACUGAGUACGGCCCCAGGAGAGAGGCCUGCUGUCUGGUCAUUGUGGACAGUCUGAUAAAGUUGUGUAAGUCUCAGAUUCUCAGGCAUCCUUCUCUGGCCAGGCAGAUUUGUGCCCAAAACUCCACGUUAUCCACCACCUGGAAUUGUGUCUGUUCUUCAGGGUCAUGGUUCUAGUGGAGCCGGCUGAGUGCCAAGGAUCCUCUGCCCCCGCCAUCUCCUCCAGAGAAGAGGUUGAAGCUACUAAAAAUCAUGUUCUCGAGGCCUUCUGUCCCCUCUCCCCACUACUGAUCUUCAGGAAUGCAAUGUUUCUGAUGUGAAAGAUGACACAGGAUUCUGGGAGGGCUAUCCUUACCCCUAUCUCCAUAUCCUGCACUUCCUGGAGAAAGCCGAUUUGCAACCACAUAGCCUUCAACCAGAUCAGCUGUGGGCCAAGAUGAUCCUGUUUGCUUUUGGCAUUGCCCUGGCUCAGGCCCAGCUCCUCUGUGGCAAUGACACCAAGAUCUCGGAGCAGCCCGUGGUUGUGCAGAGUACAUGCACAGACGGACGUGCAUUCCAUUUCCUGGUGUUACAGUAGAACACCACAGACCUGGCCUCUUAACAAGUGUGGCAAGAGUUUGGUCUGGGUGGAAUCAUGCCAGCUACUCUCUCAGCAUUUUUGGUGUCUCCCAGUGAUAAAAAAGAAGGUGGGACCGGGCCCAGUGGCAAAGAGGGUGGUUGUGGAAUGCGUUGGGCUGACUGGUUUCCAGUGGGAGACAUCCAGGAAGUUUUUAGCUCUGUAUUUACAUGGUGCU